rnacentral:rRNA from 1 species
UACAGAGGGUGCUAGCGUUGUUCGGAAUCAUUGGGCGUAAAGGGCGUGUAGGCGGUUUGUUAAGUCAUGUGUGAAAUCCCUCGGCUCAACCGGGGAACGACGCAUGAAACUGGCAAGCUAGAGUACCAAAGAGGGGGGUGGAAUUCCCGGUGUAGCGGUGAAAUGCGUAGAUAUCGGGAGGAGCACCUGUGGCGAAGGCGGCCCCCUGGUUGGAUACUGACGCUGAUACGCGAAAGCGUGGGGAGCAAACAGG